rnacentral:lncRNA from 1 species
CCUCAGUGGAGAAUGGCUGGAAGAUAUCCUUCUAUUCCAAGGAAGAAACACAGGCAAGAUCUCCAAGAUUUAGCCUGUCCGGCUUCAGACUUUCUGCUAGGGGUUACUUGCAAUGUGAAUAAAGGAACGUUGCAUCCUUGGAGGAUUGUUGCUGGGGGAAGUCAACUCAACUUCUUCUGGAGGUGCAUAAGGAUGGUUCUGGAACAAAAAGUAACAGUACUUUCAAAACUAUGGGAGACUUCGUAACAUCAGAGAUGGGAAACUAAAAUUUGAGGCUUUGCUGAGGCUGCAGAAACACUGUACAACAUUACGGAAGACAGAGAAUAUAUUCCACGGCCUGAAGGCAGAACUGACACUGAACCUUCUCCACUUUUCUUUGACUGUAAGUUCCCUGAGCAAAGCCUGUCUCUUCCUUUGUCUUACAUAAAGAUUUGGACAGCAUGAGCCAA